CUUUCGGGAUGGCAGCAGAGCGGCUUCUGGAGGAAACUCCUGGUCUCGUGUCAGUAGUUGAGCUUUUGUGUUUCCUUGAAUUGGAGCUGUGUUGUUCAGGUUCUUUCUAACAAGCAAGUGCAGGAGCAGCGGCCACGGGCGGGAAGCCUCGCCUUUACCGCCACAGGCUGUUCCUUAAGGGGACUCCUUUUCACAGUUCCGAUUUGCUGAGGAGAAAGAAUGGGAUGGUGAAACUUCAUGUUCAAAACAGAAUUCAGCGCUCUACGUGGACAGUGAGUCACUGGUUCGAGCCCUUCAGCAGCUGCCUCUUGCAGUCCGUCUUAAUGUUGCUUCAGAGUUGAUCCAGACCGCAGUUCCUUUAGAACUUCCACAGGCGAAACCAAGGAGAAACGAUGAUGGCAAGGAGCUGGGCAUGCAGUUAAGGGGGCCCCUCUCCCAGCUCAGGUCUGCUGCUGGUGGGUGU
rnacentral:lncRNA from 1 species